GAUGAACGCUGGCGGCGUGCCUAAUACAUGCAGGUCGAGCGAACGGACGCGAAGCUUGCUUCUCUGAUGUUAGCGGCGGAAGGGUGAGUAACACGUGGAUAACCUACCUAUAAGACUGGGCUAACUUCGGGAAACCGGAGCUAAUACCGGAUAAUAUUUUGAACCGCAUGGUUCAAAAGUGACAGACGGUCUUGCUGUCACUUCUAGAUGGAUCCGCGCUGCAUUGGCUAGUUGGUAAGGUAACGGCUUACCAAGGCAACGAUGCAUAGCCGACCUGAGAGGGUGAUGGGCCACACUGGAACUGAGACACGGUCCAGACUCCUACGGGAGGCAGCGGUAGGGAAUCUUCCGCAAUGGGCGAAAGCCUGACGGAGCAACGCCGCGUGGGUGAUGAAGGUCUUCGGAUCGUAAAACUCUGUUAUUAUGGAAGAACAUAUGUGUAAGUAACUGUGCACAUCGUGACGGUACCUAAUCAGAAAGCCACGGCUAACUACGUG
rnacentral:rRNA from 1 species